rnacentral:rRNA from 1 species
GACGUAGGGCGCGAGCGUUGUCCGGAUUUAUUGGGCGUAAAGAGCUCGUAGGCGGCUUGUCGCGUCGACUGUGAAAACCCGCGGCUUAACUGCGGGACUGCAGUCGAUACGGGCAGGCUAGAGUUCGGUAGGGGAGACUGGAAUUCCUGGUGUAGCGGUGAAAUGCGCAGAUAUCAGGAGGAACACCGGUGGCGAAGGCGGGUCGCUGGACUGCAACUGACGCUGAGGAACGAAAGCUAGGGGAGCAAACAGG